GAUGAACGCUGGCGGCGUGCCUAAUACAUGCAAGUCGAGCGAAUGGAUUGAGAGCUUGCUCUUAUGAAGUUAGCGGCGGACGGGUGAGUAACACGUGGGCAACCUGCCCAUAAGACUGGGAUAACUCCGGGAAACCGGGGCUAAUACCGGAUAACAUUUUGAACCGCAUGGUUCGAAAUUGAAAGGCGGCUUCGGCCGUCACUUAUGGAUGGACCCGCGUCGCAUUAGCUAGUUGGUGAGGUAACGGCUCACCAAGGCAACGAUGCGUAGCCGACCUGAGAGGGUGAUCGGCCACACUGGGACUGAGACACGGCCCAGACUCCUACGGGAGGCAGCAGUAGGGAAUCUUCCGCAAUGGACGAAAGUCUGACGGAGCAACGCCGCGUGAGUGAUGAAGGCUUUCGGGUCGUAAAACUCUGUUGUUAGGGAAGAACAAGUGCUAGUUGAAUAAGCUGGCACCUUGACGGUACCUAACCAGAAAGCCACGGCUAACUACGUGCCAGCCGCCGCCGUAA
rnacentral:rRNA from 1 species